rnacentral:lncRNA from 1 species
AUGUUGCUCAGCACCAGCUCCUCCCUAUCUGGAACCGGAGAUGAGGAUUUCUUCUUGCAAUAUCUUCCAAUGGCGAGCAAGUAUCAGCAGCAAGUGUUCACCUGCCUGGGUUCUGCACCGCUUAGGGGGAAAAAAACCUUUACAACCAGAAGAACAUCUGUAAGACCCGAGGCCUUUGAAGAGCUGAAUUUGUUGGGACCUGGCAUCUGUGGGUGCUGUGCUGGACCCCUGCAUGGUCUGCUUGAAGGCUUUGCAAAGCCUGCCUGGUGCCAGUUCAUCCUGCACGACUUGUGCUUUCCUCUACUGCUAAGUCAUGGCCAUUCGUUACAUUGCCCCCAGGCAGGCAGCCAAACCCAACUGGAAGAAAACUUUUCUCUAUCCUGUUUUUGGCUUGUAGACAUGACAUAUCUCCUUCCUGGCUCAGUCCAGGCUUGAGAAGCCAUUGCCCCUGGAUGGCAGGUGAAGACAGAACUCUUCGAGGUAUCUGCUGGUAAUUUGCAUUCCUGAAUUAUGCAUUUGCAGAAAAAAACAGAAAUAAAGUACAAGGAACAGGAAAUCAUUGUGGUGUUUUUAAUCUGAAAGGUGAGAUCGAACCACUGUUUGUAGACUGCCUUUAAUGGCCCCUCAAUUGGUAAUUAGUGUUAUGUUAUCACAUAUCUUUAAUAGAAUAUUGAUGCCUUUGGCAGAGAUAUAAUCCCAGUGUCAAGAGUAAUUCCCCUCUUUCCAGUGUGUUGCACUUAUUACACACAGGCCUAGCAGAACUGGUCGUGAGGCUCGGCUGAUGCAUCUCAAAUCAAUUAGAUGCAGCCCUUCACCACAAGUGACUUACAGCUCGUCAGAGAAAUGCAUAUUAAUGGUUUGCUUUGGGAGCACGAACUGGCAGCAAGGAGUACCAGCUCUGUCUGACUACCACUUGCUUUGUGCGCUGUUCAAGGAGAGUCUUUGGGAUUGCCAACUGCUUCUUGGAUUGCAUCCCCUCCUCUCAGCGAUGGCUUUGGGAAUGCAGGCGAAGGUGCUGCAGCAGUGGGAGCUGCUUCUGGGCUGUUGUGCAGGGAGGGCAGCAUCGAGUCAGACCCCUGGGGCAGCUGCAAGGGCUCUGCAGGGAUUUCUGUGCCCCAGCCAAGCUCACGAGCAUCCACACUUUGUGUUCCCUCAUUGCUAACUGAGGAUGAGCAUCCAUUGCACUUUCACAGCAGGUACAGCGAACCUGGGCAAAGCUCUUGAUUCAUUCGUCAAAGUGCUUUCAGUUUCCAUUUGAAAGCAGCUGAAACAAUAAUAAAUACUAAGCGGCGAAAGUUAAUCUCUAUCCAGAGCACUGUAAUAAAUGAGAAGUUAAACAAAAAUCAAUGUGGACCUGUUAAUUCUGGCCGGCUCCUGAGGUCUCUGCAGAGCUGAGCUCAACCCCUCUGGGACUGCAUCCAGCCCUGCCCUCACACAGGGCAUCUUCAGCCAGGGCAACUGUGUUGUCUUCAUGCCUGGGGCAUUAUCCAUAAGCAGCACUGGGAAGCUGAGCCUUAAUGGGAGCCUUUUACUCUGUCAGAACGCGAAGGAUCUUAUUUGGGGAGGAGAAUAAGGCCCUCCAACUAUUUAGCUGAGUUUAUUAUACUUGUAGUUCAGCACAAGUAUAAUUGCUUAAUGAAUCACAUGCCAUCUCUCCUUGAUGUACACGCGCACUGGCACGUAUCAGGAAGAUAAUGCGAUCCUCCACCAGCCGCCUCUCAAAUGACAGCAAAGGGAAAUUGGGAUCAAUACUUCCCCUGUUAUCUCCAUCUGCUAAAGACUUCGGCGUUGCUGGAGCCGGCAGCGUUGCCGCUCGCCGUGCAGCUUCCCUUCCUCCCCCCGGUCACAGCAAUGAAAGCCAACCCCACCGGAGCCCUGGCUCCCUCGCUUUCUUCAAGGAUUUCUCAGCCAUCUUUCAAGGGCACUCGCAGCCCACGGGGCAGAGGACUGCAGACAGCAUCCUUCAGCCUGUCUGAUCGCAGCGAUCCCACUGUGCUCGGCAAGGCUUGCUGCCACAGCUCCAUCUUAAAAGCAGCGCUGAACUCCGCACCUCUGUGCUCGUGAAGCCUGCAGAUGUGUGCAAGGUUCCUCGUGGGGUUGGAGCCGUUAUUCUCCCCCCAGGACAGCCCCUCUGCUGUCCCUAUGCUGGGUGGCACGCAGUGCUGAUGGAUGUGUUUGCGGAGCGGUGCUGCGUCCCAGCAGAGCGAUGCUGCGCAUGUUCUCCGUACAUCGUAAUGUCAAAUAUCAAUCAUGCAUGAUAAACACAGUUUGAAGGCAAAGGACAUUUUGGAAGAUGGAGAGAAAGGACUUUAAGGAUCUAUUUGGUGCUGAUGGGUGCUUGGUGAGGGCCGGUCCCUCCGGCACUGAUGCUGGAGUGGUUCCACCCCGACAGCUCCUGGGGAUGCUGCUCAGCAUGAGCCCAGCUCCUUGAUUUCCCCCUUGGGAUCAAAGAAUGCGAUUACUGCAGAGCUGCUGUACCGAGGCAGCUGUAAACAACGUCCCACACUCGAGAUUGAUACCGGUAAUCCUAAAACCUGGAAGCUUGUGAGCUGCCAAAAGUACUUCUGGGGGAGCGUUUGAGGACAGUGAGGACUCUCCUUUCCCCAGAACCCCGCCGUCGCUCAGCUCUCCCUUGUCCCCCCGCCUGCCUCCACCAAGGGGAGCUGCAAACCCAUCUGAGAAGGACGGCCGGUUCCAGCUGGGGCUCCCGGUGCCUUCCUGUGCCCAUCCUCUUCUCUCACCCUAGGGAUGCGCAGCAGCACUCUGCGCCCAGCAGUGCCCAUGUGGGCUUGGAUGGGGACCACAGGCUGCCCAGAGCCCUUUGGCAAUGGUGAGUUGCCCUCUGCCCCAUGGCCCCAGCACGGCCCUGCACGCACUGGGGCCUCACUAGCAGCUGAAGCUGAGCGCAAGCACUGCCUCAGCUUCAGCAGCCUGAAUUAAGGACUGAUUAAAGGAUGACACACGGGUGACAUCCCUGCACCAGGCUGCCUGCAAUGAUCCGUACUGUAGCAGGCACGGUAAAUCUGCUGGUGCUUUGCUGCUUCCAUUUGCACGGCUCCCUGAGUUUUGUUUCCCUUUCAGUGCCUUCAGCCUCAAUUAAGUAAAGUAGCUCAGCAUUACAGACACAGUCCCAUUGACAUUUACACUUAAGUUAAGUGUGGUUUUCUUGAAGCACCAUACUGUAUGGGAGCCUUUAAAUAGCCUUGUUUCCAUUCUGUUGCAUGUCAGUGCCGAUGACAAGGUACAGAACUCUCCAGGAGACAGAGUGAGGAAGUCCACGUGUGCACAUGCUGCACAACCUGCUCUCCACAACCGCUGGCACAGGUUGCCCAGAGAGGUGAUGGAGGCAGCCAAGAUCAGGCUGGACGGGGCUCUGAGCACUGCUGCAGCUGCGGGUGCCCCUGUGCACUGCAGGGAGUGGCACCAGAUGCCCUUUAAGAGUCCCAUUCAGCUCAAACCAUCCUCUGAUUCUAUGAUUUCUGAGUAUGCUGCCCAAGCUCCCUAUACAAAAGCAGAAAGCUAUGAAGAUAGAUUGCAACCAGGAACUCUAAAGCCCACCUGUGCCCACAGUGUCCCUGGGCUGCUGUGCCAGGAGCAGAGAAAAUGUGACCCACAGCUUUGCAAUAAAUCCCGGAGCCGGGCUGUGGCACACAGGAGCUGCCAUCGGGAGAUUUCUGCUUAAGAAUUCUCCCCGUGCGCUUGGAAGGCUGUGUGUAUUUAACUUUUAGCAAAACACCGGCAAUCAGAAAUCUUUUCUUCGUCGACACAAAAGCGGCGGCUCCGAGGUCUCCCAGAUAAUGAUGGUGAUGCACAUUAGCAUAUAUUUUCCUGAGAACGGCACUGUCGUAAGGCCAGCCUUGAAAGCUAUUCCGAGUAUUUACAGCUUUUAUGAGGCCCCCCGGGAGAGAAUAAUCUUAAAGUACUGCAGACACCGCUUGGAAGAACUGUGAAAAACAUUCAAUUUAGGAACAAUUUUUGCCUCCAUCUAUCUAUUUUGUGUCAGCACUUGCUCCUGCCACAGGUUGUUUCCCCACCCGAUGCCUGGGUCUGCUCUGUGCAGCACUGGGUCUGAGCAGCAGCAGCUCUGAUGGUGCAGGCGGGGAAGGAAGGGCUUGGGUAGGAAAGAGAAGUGGUGAGUGAAGAGCUUUGGGAAGGAGAAGGAUGCUUUCAUGCAAAUGCCUCUUUGGAAAGAAGGGAAGAAGAGGAAUACGGGAAGAUAAAGCAGCUGGAUUGUGUCUAAGCAGUGUGCUUUCAGUUUUCCAGUAGAUUUUUGAGUCUGCCCAAAUGCACGUGUCGUGUCCUAUUACCCCAUCCUCAGGAUGCUGUAACCAUGUCAACCAGAGGGAAGAAAAAAGCAAGCAAGCAAGCAAGCAAA